GUUAAAAAGCUCGUAGUCGGAUUUCAGUAGGCUCAGUUUAGUCUUCAUUGUAAGAUCUAUAUGGGCCUGCUUCUUUGACAGAAACUUCUAUGUUAUUCAUUUAGCGUGGGCAGCGACUGUCUCUUUUACUUUGAGAAAAUUAGAGUGAUCAAAGCAGGUAGAUGCCUGAAUAUUACUCUUGGAAUAAUGCUAUAAGACUUUGGUUCUAAUGUAUUGGUGAUUGGGACCAGAGUAACGAUUGAUAGGGACGGUUGGGGUCUUACGUACUGCAAAGCGAGAGGUGAAAUUCUUGGACCUUUGUAUGACGAACAACUGCGAAAGCAUUGGACUAGGACGUUCCCGUUGAUCAAGAACGAAAGUUGGGGGAUCGAAGACGAUCAGAUACCGUCGUAGUCUCAACCAUAAACUAUGCCAGCUAGGGAUCGGAGGAAGUUAUUGUUUCGACUCCUUCGGCACCUUAUGAGAAAUCAAAGCAUUUGGGUUCCGGGGGGAGUAUGGUCGCAAGGCUGAAACUUAAAGGAAUUGACGGGAGGGCACCACCAGGAGUGGAGCCUGUGGCUUAAUUUGACUCAACACGGGAAAAACUUACCAGGUCCGGACAUAGUAAGGAUUGACAGGUUGAAAGCUCUUUCUGAUUCUAUGGGUGGUGGUGCAUG
rnacentral:rRNA from 1 species